GUAUGCAACAAGGCCAUGCCCACUAUCACCACCACUACCAAUCAUCCUGGACCCCAGGAAGGGGAUCCCUAAUAAAUACAAAAUACAAAUGAAAAAUACAACGCCCUGUAAAAUGCAGAUAGAGAUAUACUCCACUCGGCUGGAUGCACACACUAAUGAUUAGUCAUGAAUGGAAGGAGGGAAACGCACACACUCACGCUCACAUAUGUACACACACACACACUCUUUCUCUGGCUCUGCCCUGCCUGUGCUGCUCCCCUGCCGUCAUAGUGAUGUGAGAGCAAGAGGGAGGGGAAAAGAGAGAGCAGGAGAGGGAGGGGAAAAGAGAGAGCAGGAAGAAGGAGGUAGGGAGGGGCCCGUGAGCCAGAGAAGGAAGGGGAGGGUGCAUAGAGGGAGAGCCAGAGAGAAACAGCAGUGCUGCAUCGGUGGAACGAGGGAGGGAGGGAGGUGGAAGAGGGAGUGAGCAGCGAGAGAGAGAGAGAGAUCCAGAGGAAGAGAGGGGGGCUUCCAGACUGGAUGGGCCCAGCAGUGCCUUGAUGGAGCAUGGGCCAGGUUCUAGGAUUCUCCCACUGCAAGGAAUAUGGUUCUGUCUCCUCCACGCCUGAUUCAACACCUCCCUGCACUGACGGUGGGAAUGAGGAGUCUGAGCUGUACGACCUGCAGACGGCCAGGGAGUGGUCUGACGAAGAAGACGGGGGUCCGGAGGAUGAUGACGGUGGAGCUUCAUCCCCCUCCAUUUGGGGGACCCCGAGACAGAACUCCUUCGAGCCCACCUUCUCCUACAUCGCCAUCGCCGAGGCCGAGGCAGGCGGAGCCUCGCGACAUCAUCGUGACUCAUCGUCAGGGAGCCGGCGGAGGGGCGGGGCCAGGGGAGGCCGCACCUCCCUGAUCCGCACGGACACCGUGGAAUCGCUCCUCCCCCUGGACUCCCCCGACGUGGAGUGGGACCCCCACAUCUUCCUCACCCUAGAGGAUGAGGAGGAGAGGGAGAGGGAGGAAAGGGAGAGGGACCCCCACAUCUUCCUCACCCUAGAGGAUGAGGAGGAGAGGGAGGAAAGGGAGAGGGAUGUCCACAGACAGACUGUGACAGUCCAGGAUUCUCUCCUAGAUACUGACAUUGAACCUCAAGAGAGGGACACAGAGACCCAGAGAGAGGAGACAGAGCCCCUGGAGCCCCAGCACUACAGUCCCUCUGACAGCCACCAGGCAGCAUCACCACCCCCUGAGCCUGAGUCCCUCGUAACCAUGGAAACCACCGCCCCACUGCUCACGGCUGUGCGACCAAGAGGCGGCCUCACUGAUGACGUGUCAUCCACUUCCUCCACCUCCAUUGGUCGAAACACUCAGGAAGAGCUGGUUAGCGAACAGUGGUUCUCGGUGCUCAACCUAUCAGGCCCUACGAUAUGCACCCACAUAGCAGGUAACGUUUGUAGCACAUCUUACCUAUUUUUAUGUGACUUUCCUAUCUUGGAACUACCUUUACAAUUUGAGCAUCUACCAUCCCCUUGCCGGAAUCAUUCUAUUUGA
rnacentral:lncRNA from 13 species